UACGUAGGUGGCAAGCGUUGUCCGGAUUUACUGGGCGUAAAGAGCGCGCAGGCGGUCGUGCAAGUCGCGUGUGAAAGCCCCCGGCUCAACUGGGGAGGGUCACGCGAUACUGAUCGACUCGAAGGCAGGAGAGGGUAGUGGAAUUCCCGGUGUAGUGGUGAAAUGCGUAGAUAUCGGGAGGAACACCAGUGGCGAAGGCGACUACCUGGCCUGUUCUUGACGCUGAGGCGCGAAAGCUAGGGGAGCAAACGGG
rnacentral:rRNA from 1 species